rnacentral:rRNA from 1 species
GACGAACGCUGGCGGCGUGCUUAACACAUGCAAGUCGAACGGAAAGGCCCUGCUUUUGUGGGGUGCUCGAGUGGCGAACGGGUGAGUAACACGUGAGUAACCUGCCCUUGACUUUGGGAUAACUUCAGGAAACUGGGGCUAAUACCGGAUAGGAGCUCCUGCUGCAUGGUGGGGGUUGGAAAGUUUCGGCGGUUGGGGAUGGACUCGCGGCUUAUCAGCUUGUUGGUGGGGUAGUGGCUUACCAAGGCUUUGACGGGUAGCCGGCCUGAGAGGGUGACCGGCCACAUUGGGACUGAGAUACGGGCCCGACUCCUACGGGGGGCAGCAGUGGGGAAUAUUGCACAAUGGGCGGAAGCCUGAUGCAGCAACGCCGCGUGCGGGAUGACGGCCUUCGGGUUGUAAACCGCUUUCGCCUGUGACGAAGCGUGAGUGACGGUAAUGGGUAAAGAAGCACCGGCUAACUACGUG